rnacentral:rRNA from 1 species
GACGAACGCUGGCGGCGUGCCUAAUACAUGCAAGUAGAACGCUGAAGCGAGGAGCUUGCUCUUCUUGGAUGAGUUGCGAACGGGUGAGUAACGCGUAGGUAACCUGCCUUGUAGCGGGGGAUAACUAUUGGAAACGAUAGCUAAUACCGCAUAACAAUAGGUGACACAUGUCAUUUAUUUGAAAGGGGCAAUUGCUCCACUACAAGAUGGACCUGCGUUGUAUUAGCUAGUAGGUGAGGUAACGGCUCACCUAGGCGACGAUACAUAGCCGACCUGAGAGGGUGACCGGCCCCAUACUCCCAGGGGAGGGGCCGGAAGGGAGUCUGGGGGAAGGGGGGCGACCCGGACCAAGCAGCGCGGAGGGAGGGAGAAGGGUUGCCGGGUGUAAAACCUCGGUUUUCAGGAAAGAAAGGGUGUGGGGGUGGAAAGUUCACUGUGUGACGGUAACUAACAAAAAAGGACCGGCUAACUACGUG